UCCUCGUUAGUAUAGUGGUGAGUAUCCCCGCCUGUCACGCGGGAGACCGGGGUUCGAUUCCCUCGACGGGGA
rnacentral:tRNA from 1 species